GGAUUAGAUACCCGGGUAGUCCACGCCGUAAACGAUGAUCACUAGAUGUUAGUCUUGCUUUGCGAGAUUGGUGUCGUAGCUAACGCGUUAAGUGAUCCGCCUGGGGAGUACGGUCGCAAGAUUAAAACUUAAAGGAAUUGACGGGGGUCCGCACAAGCGGUGGAACAUGUGGUUUAAUUCGACACUACGCGAGGAACCUUACCUAGGUUUGACAUGUAUAUGAUCGCUGCAGAAACGUAGUUUUCUUAGGGAAACCUAAGACAUAUACACAGGUGCUGCAUGGCUGUCGUCAGCUCGUGUCGUG
rnacentral:rRNA from 1 species